rnacentral:lncRNA from 1 species
UUGGUCAUAGGGAAUUUCCAACGUUGCAACUUCUUCAAUGGUGGACAUAUGUUUUGCAACUAUAACCCCUUGAUUCAUCAAUUCUUGUACACCAGCUCUCAAAACUUUGCAAGUUUAUGGAUUAAUCAGACAAUGCUCACAAGCAGCAUCACAACUAGGAGAUAACUUAUUCAAUAAUAAUUGUUUCUUUAUAUCAAACAGAGUGGUUUUCAAAUCGUCCACCUUGGA